UUGUUUUUAGUUUGUAGGUCACUUUGGAUAAAAGCGUCUGCUAAAUGACUAAAU
rfam:Danio rerio chromosome 25, GRCz11 reference primary assembly.